GUCUGUCAUUUACAACCAAAUAAAGUGAUUCAAAAAGUGUGUUUGAAGCUCGAAAGUUUACAUAUAUACUUCUAGCGGCUCUAUCGCUACAGUGCAAGCAGCAUGUAGAAGUAUUUCCACAAGGCGGCAGUAUUUAAUCAACUGAGACUUGUCUGGAAUACACAUUGAGAAUUCAUUCCAUGUAGAAUGCCACGUAAAUAAAUCACACAUGAGGGAGAAGAACAGCCUGAAAUGCACACAUACGUUUGAUACCGUAUCUCAAAGUAAUUUAUGCGUCUGUUGGUUGUGCAAAAAGUUGUUUUCUUUCUUUCAGAACAGUGAUUACGUUUAACCACAGUUAUGAAUAGACAGGAAACAUAUAUAGAAUACAUUUAUAGAGAUGGAAAAUAUAUAUAUAUAUCUUAUACUUCGUGGCCAGUUCGAAUUAAUAGUUAUUCUCCGAGCAUACUCAAUCACAGCACUUAGAGGUCGGCUGUGAAUACCAUCUGCUCGAAAUGCAUCAUGGGAAAUGUUGUUCAAAAAGGCGGUGGACUCUCACGCAACACCUGACACCACCUCACAGCGCUUUUCUGGUGUUGCGUAUUUAAAUGCAUAAGAAUAAACGAUUGGGUUAGUCGCUCAAAUAAAUGAACAAACAAAAUAACGGUUCGAAGCUUAGCGAUAAAUCAUUUAAAGAACUACACAUCCCAGUAGACCGUUAACGCGAUUGGAGAAUAUGGGGUGAGGGAUGUCCUGUUGAGGUGGGGGGGCAACACACACCGACUACUGGAAGCAUUGUGAGAAUUACAUUGUUGCACAUUAUCCAAGGGCUUAGAGAUGAUAAAAUAACGGACAGCGGGAUCAAAUCCUAGUGCACAUCUGCAUUAGAAUACUACGUGGACGCUGGAAACCACCACCGGCAGAGAAUUGAUGUGAAUAAUCAUAUGGAAGCUGAAUGCUGUUCAUUUAGUGCAACAUCUACAACAGUCUGCAGAAAUUUACAUUCCAGAGAGGAGGUGAAGUGCGUGUCUUUACAUCCAAAAACUGCCCCAGCUUUAAGAAUACACUAUGAUGAAGGGUUAUGCCUCCUAAGAGGCAUAGCAAGCUGUGAGGUUUCGUUGCCAAGGCAACUCAGACACCCACUCUACAGUGUUCGGCUCACCCUUGCUGAGCAGGCACAUUGGUCAAGACCCACUAAAAGCAACCAAACAACAAAAGAGAGAGGGAAAGAAAGAGUAAGCUAAGUUUGGAAGGUCGUCCUGAAUCGAGAAGAGCAGCUGGAUUUCACUGCCAUCCUAAUGCACAGCACCCUCUCAGACUGACGGGUUUUCACUGGCAGUAAACUGGCAAGUUAGAAUGAGAGCUCACACAGGUUGGCCAGCAGCAGCAUCCCAGAGAUUAUAGAUUUGGAGAUUACAGGACAACAGCAGGUCAGGGCACAUUGCCUUGUUGAAAUCUGAGUUCUCCACCUCACCAAUUCCGUUAAGAGCUGUCAUCGUGAAAUUGGCAAGCGAGCCCUGCGACACAACACAUUCACAUGCACUCGGCUGAUCACAUACUCCACUAGCUGCAGUGUUAGAAGAAAAUCGGAUGCUGUUUUUGUUUGUUGCUGUCUUUUCUUAUUUUUAUUUGGUUCAUUUUUAUUAUCCACUGACCUGGAGAGAGUUAAACUGCUCAAAUGAUCAAACCAUGAUGGCAGAAUAUUCUAAAGUGCUUAUCAAGACUGGAAUGUUCAAACCACUCAGUUAGGAUGGAAAACUGAUGGAACCAGAGGUUCCUCAUAUUUGAAUCUUCAAGCUGCUAUCAUUGAAGACACCAUAAAGACCAAGGGACAAACUCAGUGGCAUGUCUCUGCACUCAAAGUAACUCACAGGAUAUGCAACUACGGCUAAAUGAAUGAGACUGAAAGAGUUUGAAGAGUGUUGUAGAAUGUAAUGCUAUUCAAGAUGUCUGCAAAAGAGCUUUAUUACAAGACUGUGAGAAAACUCCACCCAUUUCCACCUCUGGCUGCGAAGUUCGACAAGGUGGCUCGCUAGACGGAGCGGACAGCCACGGACAAACGGGAUUACAGUGACAAACUUGGACACAUAGAGGAAUGUAAUGGAACAGACACGGAUGACAGCCUAGCUUGUCUGGCACUGAGAUGUCAAAACCACAGAGGGGGCUAUUCCUCCAACUGUCACUGCAAGGAGAAUAGAGCCGAUCACACACACGCCUACAAGCAGACUGAUUUUUAGAGGCGAAAGACUGGUUUGUGUUUGUACCGUGGCAGUAUAGACAGUUCAAAAGCGUGAAAGAGAGAGCUGGAGGAGAUCCCAUGGUGUAGGGGGAAGAGAGUGAAAAUAAAGAGCGGUAAAAGGCUCCA
ensembl:lncRNA